AAAGGAAUAGACGGGGGCCCACACAAGCGGUGGAGCACGUGGCUCAAUUCGAGGCAAACCGAAGAACCUUAUCCUGGGCUUGACAUGCAAGUGGUACAAACCUGAAAGGGAGAGGACCUUGUUUACAAGGAGCUUGCACAGGUGCUGCAUGGCUGUCGUCAGCUCGUGUGGUGAGAUGUUGGGUUAAGUCCUAUAACGAGCGAAACCCCUGCCCUUAGUUGCCAGCGGAUAAUGCCGGGGACUCUAAGGGGACUGCCGGUGUCAAACCGGAGGAAGGUGGGGAUGACGUCAAGUCAUCAUGGCCCUUAUGCCCAGGGCUGCACACGUGCUACAAUGGUCGGUACAGAGGGAAGCGAAACCGAGAGGCGAAGCAAAACUCACAAAGCCGGCCUCAGUUCGGAUUGAAGGCUGCAACUCGCCUUCAUGAAGCUGGAAUCGCUAGUAAUCGCGGGUCAGCUAAACCGCGGUGAAUAUGUUCCUGGGCCUUGUACACACCGCCCGU
rnacentral:rRNA from 1 species